ACCUGGGUUUGACAUAGCAGUGGUAGGGAAGAGAAAUCCGGACGACCCUUCGGGGAGCUGUUACAGGUGUUGCAUGGCUGUCGUCAGCUCGUGUCGUGAGAUGUUCGGUUAAGUCCGCUAACGAGCGCAACCCGCGUUGUGUGUUAUAUGUGUCACACAAUACCGCCGGUAUUAAGCCGGAGGAAGGUGCGGAUGACGUCAAGUCAGCAUGACCUUUAUAUCCAGGGCUACACACACGCUACAAUGGACAGUACAACAGGUUGCCAAGCCGCGAGGCGGAGCCAAUCCUCUAAAGCUGUCCUCAGUUCAGAUUGCAGGCUGCAACUCGCCUGCAUGAAGUUGGAGUUGCUAGUAACCGCAGGUCAGCUAUACUGCGGUGAAUACGUUCUCGGGCCUU
rnacentral:rRNA from 1 species